UCCGGCGUAGUUCAAUGGCUUAGAAUGGGUGUUAUGGCGUCCUCCAAAUACAUGAUAUGCAGGUUCGAAUCCUGCCGCCGGAA
rnacentral:tRNA from 1 species